rnacentral:rRNA from 1 species
UUAAUGAGAGUUUGAUCCUGGCUCAGGACGAACGCUGGCGGCGUGCCUAAUACAUGCAAGUAGAACGCUGAAGAGAGGAGCUUGCUCUUCUUGGAUGAGUUGCGAACGGGUGAGUAACGCGUAGGUAACCUGCCUUGUAGCGGGGGAUAACUAUUGGAAACGAUAGCUAAUACCGCAUAACAAUGGAUGACACAUGUCAUUUAUUUGAAAGGGGCAAUUGUUCCACUACAAGAUGGACCUGCGUUGUAUUAGCU